GAUGAACGCUGGCGGCGUGCUUAACACAUGCAAGUCGAACGAGAAGUGGAGACGGAAACCUUCGGGCGGAAGACUUUAUUUCGAGUGGCGGACGGGUGAGUAACGCGUGGGUAACCUGCCUCAUACAGGGGGAUAACAGUUGGAAACGACUGUUAAUACCGCAUAAGACCACAGCACCGCAUGGUGCGGGGGUAAAAACUCCGGUGGUAUGAGAUGGACCCGCGUUCGAUUAGCCAGUUGGCGGGGUAACGGCCCACCAAAGCGACGAUCGAUAGCCGAUCUGAGAGGAUGACCGGCCACAUUGGGACUGAGACACGGCCCAAACUCCUACGGGAGGCAGCAGAGGGGAAUAUUGCACAAUGGGGGAAACCCUGAUGCAGCGACGCCGCGUGAGUGAAGAAGUAUUUCGGUAUGUAAAGCUCUAUCAGCAGGGAAGAAAAUGACGGUACCUGAGUAAGAAGCCCCGGCUAACUACGUG
rnacentral:rRNA from 1 species